rnacentral:rRNA from 1 species
GUAGGUGGCAAGCGUUAUCCGGAUNUAUNGGGCGUAAAGCGUCCGCAGCCGGUNUAUUAAGUAUAGAAUNAAAGCCUGAGGCUCAACCUCAGUNCGUUCUAUAAACUGAUAAGCUAGAGUGUGGUAGAGGCAAGUGGAAUNUCUAGUGUAGCGGUAGAAUGCGUAGAUAUUAGAAGGAACACCAGUGGCGAAGGCGGAUUGCUGGACGACAACUGACGGUGAGGCGCGAAAGCGUGGGGAGCAAACAGGAUUAGAUACCCUGGUAGUCCACGCUGUAAACGAUGAAUACUAGGUGUGCGGGGACUGACCCCCUGCGUGCCGCAGCUAACGCAAUAAGUAUUCCACCUGGGGAGU